rnacentral:rRNA from 1 species
GUAGGGAAUAUUGGGCAAUGGUCGGAAGACUGACCCAGCCAUGCCGCGUGCAGGAAGACGGCCCUCUGGGUUGUAAACUGCUUUUAUCUGGGAAGAAAAAGGCCAUGCGUGGCAAAUUGCCGGUACCAGAUGAAUAAGCACCGGCUAACUCCGUGCCAGCAGCCGCGGUAAUACGGAGGGUGCGAGCGUUGUCCGGAUUUAUUGGGUUUAAAGGGUGCGUAGGCUGCUGAUUAAGUCAGCGGUGAAAGACUUCGGCUUAACCGGAGCAGUGCCGUUGAUACUGGUUGGCUUGAGUGUCGGAGGGGUACAUGGAAUUGAUGGUGUAGCGGUGAAAUGCAUAGAUACCAUCAGGAACACCGAUAGCGAAGGCAUUGUACUGGCCGACAACUGACGCUGAUGCACGAAAGUGUGGGGAUCGAACAGGAUUAGAAACCCGUGUAGUCC